rnacentral:rRNA from 1 species
UAAGGAAUAUUGGACAAUGGGCGCAAGCCUGAUCCAGCCAUGCCGCGUGCAGGAUGAAGGACCUAUGGUUCGUAAACUGCUUUUAUACGGGACAAAACCCCCGGUCGUGCAUCGGGGUUGAUGGUACUGUAAGAAUAAGGGUCGGCUAACUUCGUGCCAGCAGCCGCGGUAAUACGAAGGACCCAAGCGUUAUCCGGAUUUAUUGGGUUUAAAGGGUGCGUAGGCGGAUUAGUAAGUCAGUGGUGAAAGCCUGCAGCUUAACUGCAGAACUGCCAUUGAAACUGCUUUUCUUGAGUGCAUUUGAAGUGAGCGGAAUGUGUCAUGUAGCGGUGAAAUGCUUAGAUAUGACACAGAACACCGAUUGCGAAGGCAGCUCACUAAACUGUAACUGACGCUGAGGCACGAAAGCGUGGGGAUCAAACAGG